UGAUAUCGGUGUGCAAGAAAUUUAG
rnacentral:piRNA from 1 species